UGGGGAAUCUUGCACAAUGGGCGCAAGCCUGAUGCAGCCAUGCCGCGUGAAUGAUGAAGGCCUUAGGGUUGUAAAAUUCUUUCGCCAGGGAUGAUAAUGACAGUACCUGGUAAAGAAACCCCGGCUAACUCCGUGCCAGCAGCCGCGGUAAUACGGAGGGGGUUAGCGUUGUUCGGAAUUACUGGGCGUAAAGCGCGCGUAGGCGGAUUAGAAAGUUAGAGGUGAAAUCCCGGGGCUCAACCCCGGAACUGCCUUUAAAACUCCUAGUCUUGAGUUCGAGAGAGGUGAGUGGAAUUCCGAGUGUAGAGGUGAAAUUCGUAGAUAUUCGGAGGAACACCAGUGGCGAAGGCGGCUCACUGGCUCGAUACUGACGCUGAGGUGCGAAAGUGUGGGGAGCAAACAGGAUUAGAUACCCCCGUAGUCC
rnacentral:rRNA from 1 species